UCGAGAGGCUUCGGCAAUGGGGGAAACCCUGACCGAGCGACGCCGCGUGCGGGAUGAAGGCCCUCGGGUCGUAAACCGCUGUCAGAAGGGAAGAAUCCCCGUGGGUAAAUAGCCCGAGGGUUGACGGUACCUUCAGAGGAAGCUCCGGCUAACUCCGUGCCAGCAGCCGCGGUAAUACGGAGGGAGCGAACGUUGUUCGGAUUUACUGGGCGUAAAGGGCGCGUAGGCGGUUUUGCAAGUCAGGGGUGAAAUGUCCCGGCUCAACCGGGGACUUGCCUUUGAAACUGCAGAACUUGAGGUCGUGAGAGGAGACUGGAAUUCCUAGUGUAGCGGUGAAAUGCAUAGAUAUUAGGAAGAACACCAGUGGCGAAGGCGAGUCUCUGGCACGAAUCUGACGCUGAGGCGCGAAAGCUAGGGGAGCAA
rnacentral:rRNA from 1 species